GUAUUCUCCGUCAUAUGGCUGAUGGAGUAUCGUAUCUGCUAGAUCUCUGGUAAGCAAAGGACUAAUCAAAAGGGUGAGAUCAUGAUCAUCCAUAUCUGUAUGGAACGAUCCAUGGCUCCCAACCACUCGCCCGAGACCAGCUAAUAAAAACCAACAUAAUUAUUAUCUAGACCUCACAGUAGAUUCUCUCAUUGAUUCUACUUCGCGAACUUGGAACUCGCAGGCACUCCAAACUUUGGUGGACCCACAUGAUGUGAAAAUUAUAGAAAACAUACCACUGAGCAGAACCCAGAUGGUAGAUAGAGAUGGAUGGCAUUUCACAAAUAAUGGGAAAUAUACUGUAAAAUUAGGAUAUCAGGUAGAACGGGUUUACACAGACACGGAAAAACCACCAUUAAUGUUUGGACCUACAAUUGAUGCUUUGAAGGCGUUCUGUUGGAAAAUAUGGUGUCCACCAAAGAUAAAACAUUUUCUAUGGCAAUUGGUGACAUGGUGUAUAGCAGUCAAGAAAAAUCUGCAAGCGUGUGGGAUACAGGGGGAUAUAUGUUGUGCAAGAUGCGGAGACGAUGAGGAAUCGAUAAACCAUGUAUUUUUUGAAUGUCCUCCAGCACUUCAGGUUUGGGAUCUCUCAAAGAUAUCAUCAAAUCCAGUCAUUUUCCCAACAAUCUCUCUUUUCACAAAUAUGGAUCAUCUAUUCUGGAGAGUUUCCCCGCAUAUGGAUGAUCAUCAAUUUGCAUGGAUAUUAUGGUACAUUUGGAAAGGAAUGAAUAAUAAAGUUUUUAGUAAUCUGGAUAUUGACCCUAGAUACACGUUUAAUUUGGCAGAAAGAGAAUCAAUACUUUGGGCUGAGACACAAAUAUUGAAUGAACAGAGGAGAAUACCACAAGUAGAGAUUACGACUCUACCGUCAAUCCCAAGAAGAUGGUGUUUCACAGAUGGUUCCUGGAAGGAGAAUGAUAUUUUUUCCGGAUAGGGUUGGUUCAGUACUUUAGAAGGUUUUGAUGGGCUGAUGGAGGCGAGGAAUGUUCGGGCUAGUUUAUCUCUUCUACAUGCGGAGGUGGAAGCGCUACUCUGGGCAAUGGAAUGUAUGAAAAACUUACGUCAAUUUCAGGUUACGUUUGCAACGGAUUGUUCUCAAUUGGUAAAGAUGGUUUCGAAACCAGAAGAAUGACCAGCUUUUGUAAGUUAUUUGGAAGAUUUAGAAGUCCUGAAAGAAAAUUUCUUUCGAUCAUAAAUUAUCUAUGUACCAAGGACGCAAAAUACGAAGGCGGAUAGCCUAGCACGCAGUGUCAGGAAGCAACCGUCUUUUGUCAUUCACAUGGAUCAAGAUCUCCCGAUUUGGUUCACAGAGUCAGUAUGAGUUUGUAUAAGUUGAUGACAAAAAAAACAAAAACCCAACACUUAAAAUAUUAAAUAGCUUAACUAAAAUAAAGAUCAUAACAGCAAAUCAUAUCCAACUGGAAAGUUCUAGCGUUUCCAAAAAAGAAACGCGAGUUUCCAAAAUAGAAAUGCAAGUUUUCAAUAAGUUUCCAAACUAAGAUUUUUUAAAACGAGUUUCCAAUGCGUUUCCGCGAGUUUCCGAGAGAUUCCGAUUCUGAAACGUUUAUGAAACGUGAAACGGACCUUCGGUUGAGUUUCCAUGCGACAUAGGUUUGUACAACUUCUUACUUCUAGAUGUCAAAGGUUCAACGGAUACAAUUUUUUUUUGUUCUAGGCAGUCAGGACCGGAUUUAAGACUUCUGGAAGUAUAAACAUCUUUUAAAAUCUUUAAUAAAAAGUAUUUAUAAUUUAAGAAUGUAUACUUAUGUAAUUUUUUUUAAUUUUUUUAAGAAGACCAUUGUUUUUACUGGGGUUGCCAAGAUCCGGACUUGUAGACUGUCCAAUACAUUAAGCCGAACCUAACAAAAAUUAUUCUAAUCACGACCUAUGAUAUAGUCGAAUCAUGUGAAUGAUCCGACUAUAAAUAAAAGAGUUCAUUCAAUUCCUUCCGACAUUUUUUCCUUCCUAAACAAAAAAAACACUAAUCACUGAUAUGUUCUUUGUUUUCUUCUUUUUAUUUAUAGCAGUUUAUCAGACAAAUAAAUUAUUAUUUAUAGUAAUCAUCGAACAUAUUGUUUCACAUUAUCAAAAGUUUUCAAACAUUACAUCAUUAUCUCUGGUUUUUCACAUAGUUGAUAUCCAUGUCCAACAAAUCAACACCUUAAUCAUUGUUAUAGGAUGACAGCUAUCGGCUUUUGAGCGGUGUGUCUCACAUAAGCGACCUCGUUUUCUCUCAAACCAAAUCACUUUUAAAUGUUGUGGGUGGAAGCUCUCCGGACCGGCGACUUCUUCGGACCGAAAGUUGUUGUCUCACCUCUCUUUCUUUCGGUCAUCUGGUCUAAUUUGUCAAAACAGUUUCGGUCUUAGCGUUUCACAGAAUCACAGUGGUACUCUUUAUGUCUCUUUCUCAGCAAUCCUGGAAAAGUUUUGUUUCAGUAACCUUUAUGAAAAGUUCUGGACGAGAUAUGUAAGAUCCAAAAUCACACGUUAACUUUUUUCAAAAAAAAAAAAAAAAAAAAAAAUCACAAGUUUACUAUUAGGAUCUAGGAAUUUUGCUGGAUCUUUGAAGGAAACCGCAGACGAAGGAACUAUCUUUGGGAUGGCGGUUCUCCAAGAUUUUCUUUCCUUGGAAGCGGCUUCUUCUCGACACGGCGGGCGGGUGGAGACGUACGCCAGACUUGUGAAUCAACGAAAAUACAAGGUGUCCUCCGAUGGUGGAUAUCAGAUCCAUGAUGUUGCGAUUUCCAAAUUUGGAGACCUUUUGUAUUCAUCGGAGUUGGAAAAAUAGAUUCACUGAACUUUUUUCCCUCAGCUCAUUUUUCUAGUUUCUACUCAUGCUUGUUGUUGUUUCACCGGUUAGCAGGCGCUCAUGUACAUGUUUCUGUUCCCCUGGAUGGGUUGAACUCAUCUAAAAUAUAAUUAUUUAACAAA